rnacentral:lncRNA from 10 species
GUAACUCUGAAACUAAAAGUUAAAAAAAAAAUUAUGACUUCUUCUAUGACUUAUUAAAUAUGUAUAUUUGGUCACCCUAUUCAGCAUUAAUUUCUGUUCCCUUUGCCCCUUCUGGCCAGAGGCUAUGCUCCCAGCCUGUCAGAAUGACAACCUUGCAGGCUGCAACCCUUUAAGAGAAACAAAGCUCUCCUCUCCACAUUUAUGAGCCUGUCAUCCUCAUUCUUCAGUUGCCACACUAAGGAAAGAGCCCUGGAGAUGAAGGAGGUAAGAAGCCAUCCUUUGCCCCAGUAGAGAGAAGCCAGUAUUUCCAGCCUUCCUAGAAUUAGGUGAAAUGAGAACCUUAAGUCUCCCUUUCUCCCUUCCUUUCACCACUUUCCCCUCUGCCUCUCUCAUCCUCUCUCCCCUUUUCUUCUCACCUCCACUCUUCUGUCUCCCUGUGUCUCUCUUUUCUCCUUAUCCAUCUACGUUUGUGGAAAACAUUUACAUUUCAAGUGUUUGGCCUAGAAAUCCUAAAUAGUAUAUGCCCAAGCUUAUGCAAUGAUAUUAACUAACUUUGAAACCUCAGGGCUGCUUUUACCCACUCUCUUUUUGCACUUGCUCCUGGGUUCAGGGACACAGGCUAAAAGGCUUUUGUUUCCAUGUUCAAUUGCCAACAUCUUCUGACCUGACCGAAUUUAUUCUUUUCCUGUUGCUGCUGGGACUCAUGGCUUCUCUUGUGCAUGAUGAGGCUCCUAAAAUGUAUAAAUUGUCAUUUUGCUGUGUCAAGAAGUUAGUCUUAUUUGACUUAAGGAAAGUAGCUUUGACUUAAGUAAAGUAGCUUAGUCUUAUUUGACUUAAGGAAAGCAGCUUUCUCGGUUCUCUUUGGAGGGAAAAAUAUGUUUUUCAAUUAAAAUGCAUCCCCGUGAGCUACAUACUUCCUAAAGUUGCACUACAAGUUGUCCUCAACUGGAGGGAGCCCAAUUCACCCUGAUUGCCCCAGGCCUUAGGAACUCCUGGCCUGCCUGUAGACAACAGCAGCCUGAGUAUAAGGAGCAGCUCAGCAUGGAUCUAUGUCGCCAGAGAAAGGGUUUGAAUUUCAAAAACCCACAUCAGUGCCAGUGAAGUUCAAGAGAGAAGCACAACACACCUUUUCUCCAAGGAUUACUGGAUAAUGGCUUUUAAAUACAGACUUUUACAAACUCGAUACCCAACAGAGGCCCUGGAGACUUUUCCUGCUGAAAUGGGAGAGUUCUCUGACCCCCUCGCGGGACAUGUGACAGGG